AAUAAGUCCAUGCAGCAAAGGAACUGAAGAAUUGUGGGACUGUAUUUGGGUGGAAAAUGGGUGUGGUAUGGAAACACAGAAAUGGCACAAGUUCAACAUAAAGCAUGGAUUAGAAUUUUAGCAGGGGAUCAAGUCAAGUCUGGAAGUGUAACAGGAUGGAAGAGUGAGCCUACAGUUUAAAAAACACUGAGAGUGCAUUACCAUUAAGGUAUGAGGUAAAGUAAUAGUGUAUGCAAAUUGUCUAAUGAGAAGUACCAUCUUGUGUGAAUGAAUCCUGAUAACAGCAAUCCUUUAUAGUUCUGUCACAGCUAGAAGCCUCAAAUAAUUCUGCUUCUCUGUCUAAAGAACAACUUGUCCUUUACGUUCAGAGUGUUGGGGAAACUGGGUACUUAAAUGGCCCUAAAGAUGUUUUAAUUUUGCUGCUAUUGCAGAGAUGAACAUCAUACAUGGACUCUUUAGGUCUUAUCUACCAAAAAAAAUUUUAUCCAAUAGGAAAGGAUUUUCAUGUAUUGGGAACACAACUAUCAACAAUGCAACAUUCUACAGGUGCUAGUUUAUCAUUCAAGAGCCUUAUACAAUGAAGUUAAUCUGCAAUUUGUAUGUCCUUUCCCAAGCUUCCACCAGAAGUUGAAUCUAUGAGUCAUGUAAGUUCCAUGAUCAACAAUUGAUGUGUUUAAAGGUGUUGUUUUUCUUUUCUCAAUAUAGGUUAAUAGUAACAUUGGAUCUGAAAAGAUUCUUGGUUGGGGCAAGACACUGAAUAAAUUGUAUUGAUUGGAUGGAUGACAUGACAUUUCUAUACUUAAUUCGGAUUCCCCAGACGGUAUUUGAUAUUAAAAAAAUUGAAGUGCAUAUCUGGGCUCCCUUCCUUUCCGUAGCCCCGUUUCCCCUU